rnacentral:lncRNA from 1 species
GAGGCCUUAGCACAAUUGUCCUCUUUAGAGGAGUCCUGCCAUUGGCGUGAUGAGGUCAGGGCCCAGCGUGAUGAGGCCUUAGCUCACACUGCUAUCCUCCAGCAGGAGCUCAGCAAGCACAUCGAGGAUCUGAAAGACAUGGCUUCGGUGGCGGAGGAGUCUCAUCUCCAGCAACAACAACUUCGUCAAGAGGUCACUGCUCUGGAGAGGGGUUUUGCAUUAUUGAGGUGUGCUCGGGCUGCAGAGGAUAGGGUCCAGCAGGCUUGUGAGGAGCCCUUGCAAGAGUACAAGGACUUUGUUGAGCUAAAAGCUAAGAUCUAGAAGGCCUGCAAAGUGCAACUUGAGGAGUACAAG